AAAACGCGACUUGGGGUGGUUGGAGAGCUCAAAACUCAACUCGAGAUGGUUGGAGAUCCCAAAAAACCCGACUCGGGAUGGUUGGAGAGCCUCAAACCCAACUCGAGAUGGUUGGAGACCCUCAAGACUCGACCCAAGAUGGUUGGAGAGCCUCAAAACCCAACUCGAGAUGGUUGGAGAUCCCAAAAACUCAACUUGGGGUGGUUGGAGAGCUCAAAACGCGACUUGGGGUGGUUGGAGAC